AUCCAAGUCUUCUUGAGUUAAUAAAGUAUUCUCCAAGUUAUUCAAGUAAGUCCUCCACUUUCUUAGUUCUAGUAUUUUUGGAGCUAUAUUUUCUUCUUCGUUCUUCAUCAAUUAUGGUUGUGAGUCUUGGGCUAGUGAAGCAUAAUUCACUACUCUAAGAAAGCAAUUUCCGGAAUUUGGGAAGUUGUUUUUCUUCACAUGGUAUCAGAG
rnacentral:lncRNA from 1 species